rnacentral:rRNA from 1 species
CCUACGGGUGGCUGCAGUGGGGAAUUUUGGACAAUGGGGGCAACCCUGAUCCAGCCAUUCCGCGUGAGUGAAGAAGGCCUUCGGGUUGUAAAGCUCUUUCGCAAGGGAAGAAAACUUACUCAAUAACACUGGGUGAGGCUGACGGUACCUUGAUAAGAAGCACCGGCUAACUACGUGCCAGCAGCCGCGGUAAUACGUAGGGUGCGAGCUGGACGCGGAAUUACCGGGCGUGGUGUGGGCGGUGGGGGGUGAAAUCCCCGGGCUCAACCUGGGAACUGCGUUUGAAACUACAAGGCUAGAGUAUGGCAGAGGGGGGUAGAAUUCCACGUGUAGCAGUGAAAUGCGUAGAGAUGUGGAGGAAUACCAAUGGCGAAGGCAGCCCCCUGGGUCAAUACUGACGCUCAUGCACGAAAGCGUGGGGAGCAAACAGGAUUAGAUACCCCUGUAGUC